UGUGAAGUCUUUCAAACGAGAUUUGAGGACUUCAGUAAUUCAGUCAGAGGUUACCUAUUGCAGGCGUGGCUGGGGGGAGGUUUUAUGGCCUGCAGUGUGAAGGAGGUCAGACAAGACGAUCAUGAUGGUCUUUUCUGGCCUUAAAGUCUCUGAGUCUGUGAGAUUCACCCACCAGGGCAGGAAAUCCCCUACUGAAGAGGUGGGUCUUUACGGCUUCUGGAGGGAAAAUAAAAUAAUUCUUGUAUACAGCUAAUCAGGGGCAACAUGCAGCACUUGCCUGGGCGUGGUGGGGGGAAAUGAUGUAUAAUCUUCAGAUCCAAUUAGCCUCAGCAUAUGAGUGAGAGGAAGAUAACCUGCUCUUUUUAGGGGGUCCUGUGCAUCUAUGUCUCCAAGGAUAGAGAGGAGGGACCUUUGCAGGUCCAGAGCUUCCUCCCCAUUCCUGCCAUAUUCUGCAAUUCUUUCUUCCCCACUCAAGCUGCCUGGAGCCUUCCUUUGCCUCUAGAAUGCCGAAUCCUGAGUAGCUCCUGUGAUGUAUCUAACUAAAAGCAAUUAUUGUAUGAUACACCUAACCUCAAUAAGAGUGUUUGCUUUGAAUUUGGAACUAUCAUACAUUAAAAUCCAUAUUUAUAAAGGGCAGCUUAUUCCCACGCUCUCUCUAAACUCACCUGGCCUGACUUUCAUAAGAUGUGGCCCACAGGCUACAUUUACAUGGAAAAUUGCUGCAAAUGAAUGUGUAAAUCUGGCUUUUGUACAUGCAGCUGUAUUUAAAUGUGCAAAAAAAGGGUGUAGAUAGGGGAGCACAAAAAUGUUGGCAAACUCCAAUGGGGCCCACAGAGAUGCAUUUUCUAAUGGACCACUAGAAUUGCACCCAUGAUAUUUGCAGGUGAUUCCAUUUACUUAUGCAAAAAUCUGCAUUUGCAUAGCUGACUGCUCAGCUGUAAACAAUUACCCAAUGUGAGGAACACAUGUGCUUUUGCACGUGCAAGUAAACCUACGGUACGUCUACACAGCAAAGAAAAACUCACAGCUCAGUUUCAGUGGAUUUCCUCCAUAUUUACACUGGUGUAACUCAGAACAGAAUUUGGACCUAACUGAUGGUUUUUUUGCUCAUCCACUUACAUAGUUUUUCUCAUUGCAAAUUCCAGUCUAAUCCUCCCCAUGACUCCUCACAUGAUCCUUCUAUCUCCAUUCCUUCCCCCACUCCCAUUGCAUAUGCAGUUGCUGGAGAGUCAGUAAUGCAACAUUUUCUCAGUUUGAUGGUUGAGAAACAUUAAUUUUUUGGAGAGAAGGUUUGAUUUUUGGCUCAUAAAUGUCCUCCAAUGAGAAAUGCAAAGUAAACCUUCUCCCCUCUGCCUCACUGCUGCUUAGCCUGUGUGUAGCAUCUGUUGCACCUCUGUGUUUCUAGCUAUAUAAUCUCUGUACACUCAAACACAGACACUAGUUUUAGGAUAUGCUAAGUUGUGAACAAACCCAAGAAAAGCUAGGAAAUUCAAAGUUAAUGACACAGUUCCAGACAAAACGUGAGCCAAAUUUUCAAUGGCCCUUCUUACCUGCACCUGUGGUAUUGGCAACUGUGUCUGUUUGGGCAUACAGAAGCUGUGUGUGUGUCCACAUGGAUGCAGAAGAAGAAAUGUCCUUAAAACAAAACCCAGGAUCUGAACCCCAGGAAACUUUGAAAGUUUUCAAAAUCUGGUCCCAGAUCUUGCUUUGAAUGUUGCAAAGGUCCCCCAUCUUUGUAAUGGGCCAGUUCAAAAACUGGGUAUGAAACCAUACUGAAUUUGGGGGUGUUCAAAGUCCACGUUAGAAUGCAAUUUUUGCAAUUUGUGCACAUCUGACAAAGAACUGAGGUUGCAGACAUCACAAGCUCAGUCCAGAGCAGGCCUUUGGAGACUAUGGCCCGGCGAUGUAAGAGCGGAGGCACCAGCCCAAAGUUGAAUUUCCCAACAUUUGGGAAAGGACUUUAACAUUAUUUAAAUGUAGAUUUUGUAUGUGAAUGUCCUUGCUGGCUUAUUUUCUUAACAUUAAUUUCUAAACAAACAAAAAAUGUCAAGGAAAUUAAUGAAAAACAUAUUGUUUGACCCAGAGAGCCAUUGUAGGUACUUUGGCAAAUCAUGUAAUGAAUCAGAUAUGUAAAAAAUAUUUUUAAAGCAGCUUCAUGGAUUCAGGUAUCUUCAGCAGGGUCAUUUCUAUUUGCAGGGUAAAUAGGGAUAUUUAGACAUUUUAAAAAUGAUUUUUACCCUACCAGUCAAUUAGAAAUAAAAAACAUACAUUAAAAUAUUUAAAUAGCA
rnacentral:lncRNA from 1 species